CUCGGCUUGGUAUGUGGAGAGGGAAAGGGCUUCUAUCUACUUGGCAUAAUGAUGGACGCAGAAAUGAAAUCCUUUAGCCCAUGUUUAGGGAACAGAAUCCUCUCCACUGGAGACAAUGAGGUCUGGAGUUGCAUUUUCCAGGGCCCUCUGACAGAAGGAUAAGCAGGCUACAGGCUCUGUGAAAACAAACAGAGCUGAAACAAGCUAGAAAAGUCAAGUUUUUCCACUAUCCCUUGUGUGUGGGCAGACACCACAAUGCAGGUGUGAGUUGCUUUGUAGUAGAAAAGAUGGAAAUUCUUGAUGUCCUGAGGUGAAUGAAUGGUGAAUGGUGACAUGAUGAAGCUUCCUUAGCAGAGGCUAGAAGAGGACCAGUCUACGUCAUUGGUUAAGAAACCCUGGCUCUCUGCAGUACUUUUUCUCCUGGAGUGAAUCAAUCAGAAUCCUGACAGAAAACAGUGAGAACUCAAAGGAACUAUUUACAGAGGUGGAAGGGAAAAAACAAGGUCAUAGCAACCACCGAAAGUUGCUAAAACCCUAAAGACAGGAGGGCAAAGGGAAGAAGCUGUUGCUGGAGGUCUAAGGUAGCCAUUGUCCAUUGUCAUAAAAGGGUGCUGAAUCUCAUUCCCCUCUGGAGUCAACAGUGAGAGAGCAGAGAGAGGACCUGGUGCAAAUAGGUCUUCUGCUUGCCUGUCUCCUGAAGUACCUCCAAGAAACUAAGACCAGCUGUAAUUUAAAAGGCAAGGAGAUAAGGAGACACACCACACUCAGAGGUCAGCAGAGUGGGCCAGAGUACACAUUCAUCCAACAUUAUGAUGUUUACAGAUCUAUGCUACAACCCUGGACACCUCAAUUCUUGGUUAAAAACAAGUUGUAAAUGUCAAAUAAAUCACACUGAGAAUGUAUGUGUGUGGGGGUGUGCAAACAAAAUACCAGAUGCUCCACAGUUUAUGAUGGGGUCAUAAAACAUCUCUCAUUAAGUUGAAGAUAUUGCAAGUAGAAAAUAGAUUUAGUACUCCUAAUUGCUGAACAUCACAGCUUGACUUAACCUACCUUCGUGUGCUCAGAACACUUGGCCUGCAAUUGGACAUUGUGAAAGGUUACCUGCCACAUAUUGCUAGCUUGGGGAAAGAUCAAGAUUCAAAAUACAGUUUGUACAGAAUGUAUACCUAUUUUCCAGAACUCUAAAAGUAGAGCCAUUGGAAGUUGGGGGCGGGCAUAUAGAGUGGCAUGUACCAACCACUAGAGCAUGAAGACAGCACCCCCAACAGGCCAGAGGAUCCUUUACAAGAGCUAGCAGCAGCUCAACACUUAGCUCUCAUAUAGGAAGUAGAGAACUAUGGGAAGUUCGUUUAGCUAGUUGCCCAAGCAGCAUAAUUUUGGAGGUGAAAGGGAAAGCAUUGUGGGUUUCAUCUUUACCUGAAAGCCAGUAUAAUUAGGAAACAUUGCAAUUUAAAUCAGUCACCUAGUCACAAAGAACAUCCACCUCUUUGGAGAGAACACAGCGCUGUCACAGGGGCAGGGACUGAACACCCGAGCCAGCUUCUUCUCACAGAGUUUGGAAUAAUAAUGGCAGAUGCACAGCUGUGAAGGCAAAGCCAUCACCUGUCAGUGCCAUAGGCAUCCAGAGCCCAUUAAAGUAGGCAACCCUUCCCUUUGAAUGUCUCUGUUGAGUGAAGUCCCAAGAAGGCAGCAACAGUAGUCUUGAGUGAAGAAAGCAGCUUGCUCUUCUAACAGUCCUAUUAUCAGAGCAAGUCCCAUCUACGUUUCUCUCAAGCUCAUUCUUAGUUGUGAUAAAAUGCACAUAAAAUGUACUAUCUUAAUCAUUUUUAAGCGUACAGCUGAGUCGUGUUAAGUACAUUCUCAUUUUUGUAAAACCAACCUCCAGAACCCUUUCAUCUUGGAGAAUGGACAUUCUACACUCAUUAAACAAUUUUCAUUUCCAUCUGGCUUCGACUUCUCUACACCACUCACAUAAAUGGUGUUAUACAUUAUUUUUGUGAGUGGCUCCUCUUACUUGGCAUAACGUUUCAAUGGGUCAUUGAAGUUGUCGCAGGUGUCCACAUUUUGUUCAUAUUUAAGAUUGAGCAAUAUUAUACUGUAUGGUUACAUCUUGUUUAUCUGUUCACCUAUUGCAAGAUACUCAGGUAGUUUCUGCUUCUUAGUCAUCAGUCAUAAUGCUGUGAUCAUCUAUACAAAUAUCUCUUCAAAAACCUUUGUUUUCAGUUUGAGUAUGCUCAUAAAUUGAAUCACUGUUGUAUGAGCUUUUUAUUCACUUACAAUCUAAUUAGUUCUGAAGUUACAGAUUAAUUUUUUUUUUCUGAACAGGACAAUGUGGGUUCCUUCUGUAUUCCAUAAAACAAGGUAUUGUGGAGGAAAGGAUCUAAAACUUGACAUCAUAGCUUUUGGAUACCAGAUGCCAUUUUAGGGCUGAGAAUAUAUAUCAAUGGUAGAACAUUUGCCUAGCAAGUGUGAAGCCUUGGGAAAAUCCCAAGGGAUGGUAGAGGAGGGGGCAGGAAAGCUGGCAGUGGAGAAAAUGAAAACAAACCCAUUUUAAUGCUGUAAAGGCUAUGUACUCUUGGACAUGUUCCUUAACAUCCCAGUAACCUGUGUAGUCCACUCAUGAGAGUGGACUAACUCAUGUGAUUGAUCUCCUAGGGGUGUCAUAGCAAAGCACCAAUAACUUUGUGUAUCAGGCACUUGAAAUGUACUUUUUCACAGAUCUGGACACUAAAAAUCCCUAAUCAAGAUAUCAGAAAGAUCAGUUCCUUUUGGAGAACUCAGAGGAAAAAGGCUAUGCCACACUUCCUUCUCUCUGUUUCCUGUGGCUGUUUUUAGAAGUCUUUGGAGUCCUUAGAAUGCAGCUCCAUGACUCUGAAGUCUGCCCUCUUCCUCCUGUGUGCCUGAGUGUCCGUGAUGCAUUCUCUUCUCUGGGAUCACCUAAAUCCCCUUCAUUUUACAAGGACACCAGUAAUUGAAUAAAAGCCACACUAUGAUAAAAGUACUGGAGAGAUUAGGGACACAAGGGACAUAAUUCAACAUAAUCAAGGCAGUUUACAGCAAGCCCAUAGCUUAUAUCAACUUAAAUAAAGAAAAACUCAAAGCAAUUUCACUAAAAUCAGGAACAAGACAAGGUUGUCCACUCUCUCCAUACCUAUUCAAAUAUAGUACUUGAAGUCUUGGUGAGAACAAUAAGACAACUGCAGGAGAUCAAGAUCAUACAAAGUGGAAAGGAAGAAGUCAAAGCAUUCUUAUUUUCACACUACAUGACAGUAUACAUAAAUGACCCUAAAAAUUCCACCAGGAAACUCCUACAGCUGAUAAACACUUUCAUAAAAGUGGCUGGAUAAAAAAAUAAAUAGCUAUCCUAUACACAAAUGACAAACAGACUGAGGAAAAAAAACAGGGUGACAAGACCUUCCAUAAUAGCCUCGAAUAAUACAACAUAUCUUGGAGUAACUCCAAGCAAGGAAGUGAAAGACUGGAACAAUUAAAAACUUUAAGACAUUGAAGAAGGAAACUGAAAAAGAUAUCAGAAUAUGGAAAGAUCUCGCAUGCUCAUGGAUCAAUAGGAUUAAUAUAGUAAAAGUGGCCUUCCUAAAAAAAGCAAUCUACAGAUUCAAUGCAAUCCCCAUCAAAACUCCAACACAAUUCUAUAUAGAAUUUGAAAGGACAAUUCUCAGUUGCAUAUGGAAAUAUAAAAAACCCAGGAUAGAUGAAACAGUAAUUCAUAAUAAAAGAACUGCUAGAGGUAUCACCAUUCCAAUUUCAAAUUGUGCAACAGAGCUAUAGUAAUAAAAAUGGCAUGAUAUUAGCACAAAAAUAGACACAUUGAUCAAUGGAAUCAAAAUGAAGGCCAAGCCAUAAAUCCACACACAUACGAACACAUGACUUUUUUUUAUAAAGAGGCCAGAAAUAUACCCUGGAAAGAAGACAGCAUCUUCAAAGACUGGUGCUAGUAAAACUAGAUGUCUGCAAGCAGAAAAAUGCAAAUCAAUCUAUAUUUAUCACCCUGCACAAAACUCAACUUCAAGUGAAUCAAAGACCUCAACAUAAAACCAAAUGCACUGAACCCGACAGAAUAGAAAGCGGGGAAUAGCCUUCAGUUCAUCGGCACAGGAGACUACUGGACAUCAACAGUGCAGGCACCAAGAUCAGCAAUGAACAGGUGGGACCUCAAGAAACUGAGACGCUUCUGCACUACAGGGGACACUGUCACUUGGACAAAGUGUCACACUACAGAAUGGGAAAGGAUUUUUACCCACUCCACAGCUAAUAGAGGACUAACAUCCCAAAUACAUAAAGAAUCAAAAAACUAGAUAUCAAUAAAAUAACCCAAUUUUAAAAUGAAGUACAGACCUAAACAGAAUUCUCAGAAGAGGAAACUCAAAUGGCUGAGAAACGACUUGAAGAAAUGUUCAACAUCCUUAGUCAUCAGGGAAAUGCAAAUCAAAACUAGGUUAGAUUUCAUCUUACACCCAUCAGAAGAGCAAAAAUCAAGAAAAUGAAUGACAGUUCAUGCAAGGAUGUGAGGUAAGGGGGACACUCCUCCAUUGCUGGUGGGAGGGCAAACUUGUACAGCCACUGUGGAAAUCAAUGUGGCGAUUCUUUAGGAAGAUGGGAUUUGACCUACCUCAAGAUCCAGCUAGACCACUCUGGGACAUAUACUCAAAGGUCACUUCAUCCUAUCAGAGACACUUGUUCAACCAUGUCCAACCACGUCCAUUGCUGCUUUACUCAUAAUAGCCAGAUAUUGGAAACUACCUAGAUGUCCCUCAACAGAAGAAUGGAUAAAGAAAAUGUGGUACAUUUACACAAUGAGCUAUUACUCAGCCAUUUAAAAAAAUAAAAUCACAAAAUUCACAGAUAAAUGGAUGGGACUAGGAAAAAAAAUCAUCCUGAAUGACACAACUCAGACCCAGAAAGACAAAUAUGGCAUGUAUUUGCUUAUACAUAUGUGGACAUUAGCCGUUAAGUCAAUGAUAACAAAGCUACAAUCUGUAAAACCACAGAGGUUAGGUAUAAAGUAAGAAAUUAGAGGGAGACAGAUAGAUCUCCCUAGGAAAGGGAAGUAGAAUAGGUAUUUAUGGACGAAUGGGCUGUAGACUGGAACACGAGGCUCAAGUGGGCGGGGGGAAGGAGGAUGAAGGAAGGAAUAUGCAGAGAGAGUGCUAAAACUAAGGGUCAUCUGAGGGUCAAUAGUCAAACCUAAUAUAGAAGAUGCUUUCUAAAUGAAGGCAAUGUAAAUGAAAUCACCAAAUAAUGGGGCAGACAGAGCCCCAUUGUCACCAAAUGAAGCUUCUAGUACUGGGAUUGGGUUACAUCAAAUUUAGUUGUUGGCCAAAUGGGUCCCCUGGAAGCCCCCAAACAACCCAGGCUGUUGCCAAGACUAUAGAUUGGUUUCCAAAACUAAUGGCAGGGCCCCAUUGAUGAAGCCAACAAGUACAUAACUCAUUCAAUAGGAAGAAGUGGAGCUGGUGCCUUCACAGAGCCAUCACACCUAUGUGCUAGCAUCUUUGGUCCAGGAAGGUAUUCUGCAUGCUACCAAAUGAGAAACAUAAACAACAACCCAGCCACAAACCUUUUGAUCUACAGUGGUGUCCUGCCUGUAAGAUAUGCUACUGCAAUGGUGGCACAAAGUCUGUGGGAAUAACCAAACAAUAUCUGACUUGAUUAAAGGACCAUUACACAAGAUGGAAUCCAUACUGGCUAAACACUGCUUGGGUGACUACAAAUCUGAGACUAGACAGCCCAGGGACCUAGGGUAAAACCAAAUG